UCUCUUAAACCCAAUUUGAGAUUACGAUCUUGAAAUUUUAUUAAACUGGUGAAUGAAUUUGAAAAUUUAUAUUAUUAUCUUUUAAAUUAGUCUUUAAAUUAAUUCUCGAGCUUUACCUCAAGAUAAAUUGUUUUAACAUAAAAUAAAAAUAAUAGACCUAUCAUUUUCCCCUACCCUCACACUCACUCACUGACUCUCUCACACUCCCUCUAUCUCAACCGACACUCUUCUCUCUCUCUCCUCACCAUGUCGCCUCUCCCCUCUCCGUUUGAGCAGCCGCACCACCACCGCACCGCGCCACUGUUCUGCCUUCCCUUUUCGCCGGUCACCGCUGAUGCGGUUGUUGUUAUUAAUUUGUGGGGCGGAUUCACAUCUUCUCUCCCUUCUCGUCUCCUCCUCUCUCUCGUCCCAGCUAUGUGACGUCGCCGCCGGUGGUGGCUGCAAAAACCACCCAUGUUGAUUCUCUCUCUUCAAUUGGUAAAUUUACUUGAACUUUUUUGUCAAAUAUAUAUAUAGCUAAAAACCCCCAAAUUGAAGGAACCCUAACUCUCUUCCUUGAUUCUUAUUUUCUCUCUUAUUGUGGCGCACCGACCUUCCACUGCCGCCUCCCCCCUCGUUGUUGCAUGCGGCGACUCUGCUCCGUCGCCGCCGCCGCUGCCGCUGCUGUUGUUAUUGUGGUUCUCGGUCCUGCUAUUGUUGAGUUCCCUUCUUGUCUUUCCAUUUAAACUUAAGGAUAGAUGAUUGGAGAAAGGUUAAGGAGAUUUGAAUCGUGGAUUUAAGCAGAGAGUGGUACUCAAAUGAGACUUGAGAUUUAUGUGUGGUGAUUCGAGAGUUAAAAUGUUUUGCAGGUAGCGAGAAUCGAGUUUCAGUUCAGGUUCAAGGUGCGUAGAGUCCUCCGGAUGUCUUAUAUGUUUCAAGGCGGGUUUAUCGAUUCUCUAAGUGUAUUCAAGUUUUUUUUCCAAUUUGUUAAUGGGUUGUAUUAUUCCUUUCUAGAGCUUUUCGGUUUAUUAUUUAUGGAUUGUAUAUCCUUGUUGAGUUGGUGACACCCUGGUGAUGUCUUGGGAAAUGUUAUAUGUUGGAAUGUUGUAAUUGAAGCAGGUGAAAGAAAAUCUGACGUAAUAUCCUAAGAAAUGUUUUAGGUUGUCCGUAUUUAGGGGAAGUGCUGCCGAAAUUUUUAAUAACUAAUUAAGUUUAA